AACGAACGCUGGCGGCAUGCCUAACACAUGCAAGUCGAACGGGAACGCCCGGCUUUUCUGCGGGGGGCGAGUGGCGAACGGGUGAGUAACACGUUGGUACCCUGCCCCUGUCGGUGGGUUGACUUCAGAAAGCUGGAGCUAUUACCGGUUAGGAGUUCCUGCUGAAUGGUGGGGGCUGGAAGGCUUAGGCGGUUGGGGAUGGACUCGCGGCUUAUCAGCUUGUUGGUGGGGUAGUGGCAUAGCAAGGCUUUGAAGGGUAGCCGGCCUGAGAGGGUGACCAGGCACAUUGGGACUGAGAUACGGACCAGACUCCUACUGGAGGCAGCAGUAGGGAAUAUUGCACAAUAGGCGGGAGCCUGCUGCAACCACGCCGCGUGCGGGAAGACGGGCUGCGCGUAGUGAACUGCUUUCGCCUGUGACGGAGCGUGAAUGACGGUAAUGGGAGAAGAAGCACCGGCUAACUACGUG
rnacentral:rRNA from 1 species